GGGUUGUGAGGUUAAGCGAAUAAGCGUACACGGUGGAUGCCUAGGCAAUCAGAGGCGAUGAAGGACGUGCUAAUCUGCGAAAAGCGUCGGUAAGGUGAUAUGAACCGCUAUACCCGACGAUAUCCGAAUGGGGAAACCCAGUAUCCAAUGGAUACUAUCAUUAACUGAAUCCAUAGGUUAAUGAGGCGAACCGGGAGAACUGAAACAUCUCAGUACCCCGAGGAAAAGAAAUCAACUGAGAUUCCCCUAGUAGCGGCGAGCGAACGGGGAGCAGCCCAGAGUCUUAAUCAAUAGCAGUGUCAGGAGAACGGUCUGGAAAGUCCGGCAGUAAAGGGUGAUAGCCCCGUAUCUGAAGAUGCUGUU
rnacentral:rRNA from 1 species